GCAUCGGCAUCCGGUGGUAGCAGACGUGGCAACAAAAAAUCAAGGGAUGAUGAGGUAUAUUUUUCUUCUAUCUAGAAUUUCAUACAUGUGUUGUCUUAGCAAAUUUCAACAAUGUUAUGGAGAAUCAUGGAUAGGGUGAUCAAAUGGCUUGGAAUGAUGAGCAUACCGCACUUGUUUGCAAGUUGUUCGCUGAACAAGUUAGAAAAGGAAAUAGGCCAAACACUCAUUUGAAUAAUGUGGGCUAUACCGAGGUGAAUGAAAGGUUUUUUUAGUGUACCGGUAUUAUGUUGAAAAAAUCUCAAAUUAAGAACAAAUGGGACAAGUUGAAGGCUGAUUUAGGUGCUUGGAGAAAAUUGAUGAGGAAACAAACUGGAACCGGUUGGAAUUGGGACAAGGGAACUAUCAACAUGGAUGCUGAGUGGUGGAAAAAAACAAAAAAUGACAUACCUGGCGUCGGGAAAUUUAAGAAUAGGCCUCUCCAAAAUGAAGAUGAGAUGAAUGUAAUGUUUGGGAGCAUCAUAAAUGAAGAGAUAGAUCAUUGGAA